UUUUUUUUUUUUUUGUAAACCUUAGUGUGCCCCCUCUUCUCAAGAUUGUGAAAAAAUACUCAGUUCUGCUUUUUAGAUUCUCAGUAAGGGAGGGACUUGUACUCAGCAAACUGAAACUAAACAUCUAGUCACAGAUUUUUUCUACACAACUCAGCAGCUUCUGAUCUUAUUUACAAGAAAAACGACAAAUCAAGGAUGGCUGUGACAAUGUGAGUAAUUUAAUCUCCGUCUAAUACUCUUUAUGGUAAACUAAUAAUGAGUCAGAAAGUUUGAUUUAACAAUGAGUCUAUAUGUAUUUUCUUAAAGGCAUAAACUGAUCGACUGUUUCUUCUCUUUUUGUAGGGAAAGUUUUAAGUGCUCUCUUUUUCAGAUAAGUGGUUUGUCUUUAUCUAAUCGCUCUUUGCUGAUGAUCGGAGCUGUGAUUACAGUGGUGGCUGCAGCAUGGAUGUAUUUUAACUGGGUGGGUGAAGAUAAAAUCUCCUCAUAAAAUGGAUUAAGAAAUCACAUGUGAAAUCUGACUUCCAAGCACACUACACACUCAAUAUUUUUUUCCCUUCUUGUCAUUGUAGAAAAUUGAAGAGACUGUUGGGAGCAAAACAAAAUGACUUGUCAUGAAAUCUCAACAAAAGCAUCGUUGGAACCCUGACCCUAAACUCUGUAAUAAAAUCAACAUCGGUAGAAA